CGACGAACCGUCCGAACGUUAUUCGGAAUCACUUGGGCGUUAAAGGGUGCGUGAGGCGGGCGCGGAAAGUUGGGGUGUGAAAUACCCUCGGGCUCAACCGAGGAACUGCGCCCAAAACUACCGUGCUCGAGGGAGAUAGGAGGUGAGCGGGAACUUAGGGUGGAGCGGUGAAAUGCGUUGAUAUCCUAAGGAACACCGGUGGGCGAAAGCGGCUCACUGGAUCUCGUUCUGACGCUGAGGCACGAAAGCUAGGGUAGCGAACGGGAUAGUGACCGUGA
rnacentral:rRNA from 1 species